rnacentral:rRNA from 1 species
GGAAUAUUGCACAAUGGGGGAAACCCUGAUGCAGCGACGCCGCGUGAGCGAAGAAGUAUUUCGGUAUGUAAAACUCUAUCAGCAAGGAAGAUAAUGACGGUACUUGACUAAGAAGCUCCGGCUAAAUACGUGCCAGCAGCCGCGGUAAUACGUAUGGUGCAAGCGUUAUCCGGAUUUACUGGGUGUAAAGGGAGCGUAGGCGGUCUGCCAAGUCUGAUGUGAAAACCCGGGGCUCAACCCCGGGAGUGCAUUGGAAACUGGCGGACUGGAGUGUCGGAGAGGUAAGCGGAAUUCCUAGUGUAGCGGUGAAACGCGUAGAUAUUAGGAGGAACACCAGUGGCGAAGGCGGCUUACUGGACGAUAACUGACGCUGAGGCUCGAAAGCGUGGGGAGCAAAC